rnacentral:rRNA from 1 species
AUUGAACGCUGGCGGCAGGCCUAACACAUGCAAGUCGAGCGGAUGAAGGGAGCUUGCUCCUGGAUUCAGCGGCGGACGGGUGAGUAAUGCCUAGGAAUCUGCCUGGUAGUGGGGGAUAACGUCCGGAAACGGGCGCUAAUACCGCAUACGUCCUGAGGGAGAAAGUGGGGGACUUUGGGACUCACGGCUUCCAGUUAGGCUAGGUCGGAUUAGCUAGUUGGUGGGGUAAAGGCCUACCAAGGCGACGAUCCGUAACUGGUCUGAGAGGAUGAUCAGUCACACUGGAACUGAGACACGGUCCAGACUCCUACGGGAGGCAGCAGUGGGGAAUAUUGGACAAUGGGCGAAAGCCUGAUCCAGCCAUGCCGCGUGUGUGAAGAAGGUCUUCGGAUUGUAAAGCACUUUAAGUUGGGAGGAAGGGCAGUAAGUUAAUACCUUGCUGUUUUGACGUUACCAACAGAAUAAGCACCGGCUAACUUCGUG